AUCAUGCUUCCAAGAAAAGCUUCUAAGGAGAAGACAUAGUACCCGUACCGAGAACCAACACAGGUGGACGAGGAGAGUAUCCUAAGACGAACGGAAGAACUCUCGUUAAGGAACUCGGCAAAAUGACUCCGUAACUUAGGGAUAAGGAGUGCCUCCUCAAGAGAUUGAGAGGCCGCAGUGAAUAGGCCCAAGCGACUGUUUACCAAAAACACAGCUCUCUGCAAAGUCGCAAGACGAAGUAUAGGGGGUGACGCCUGCCCGGUGCUGGAAGGUUAAGAGGAAAUGUCAGCGCAAGCGAAGCAUCGAAUUGAAGCCCCAGUAAACGGCGGCCGUAACAAUAACGGUCCUAAGGUAGCGAAAUUCCUUGUCGGGUAAGUUCCGACCCGCACGAAAGGCGUAACGAUUUGGGCACUGUCUCAACGAGAGAUCCGGUGAAAUCUUAGUACCUGUGAAGAUGCAGGUUACCCGCGACAGGACGAAAAGACCCCAUGGAGCUUUACUGUAGCUUGAUAUUGAUAUUUGCUGUAUGAUGUACAGGAUAGGUAGGAGACUGAGAGUAUUGCACGCUAGUGUAGUAGGAGUCAAUGUUGGGAUACUACCCUUUAUGCAAUGAAUAUCUAACUUAUUACCAUAAUCUGGUAAGAGGACAGUGUCUGGUGGGCAGUUUGACUGGGGCGGUCGCCUCCUAAAGAGUAACGGAGGCGCCCAAAGGUUCCCUCAGAAUGGUUGGAAAUCAUUCGAAGAGUGUAAAGGCAGAAGGGAGCUUGACUGCGAGACAGACAAGUCGAGCAGGGACGAAAGUCGGGCUUAGUGAUCUGGCGAUACCGAAUGGAAGGGUCGUCACUCAACGGAUAAAAGCUACCCUGGGGAUAACGGCUUAUCUCCCCCAAGAGUUCACAUCGACGGGGAGGUUUGGCACCUCGAUGUCGGCUCAUCACAUCCUGGAGCUGUAUUUGGUUCCAAGGGUUGGGCUGUUCGCCCAUUAAAGUGGUACGCGAGCUGGGUUCAGAACGUCGUGAGACAGUUCGGUCUCUAUCCGUCGUGGGCGUAGGAAAUUUGCGAGGAGCUGUCCUUAGUACGAGAGGACCGGGAUGGACAUACCACUGGUGUACCAGUUGUUCUGCUCUAGGGCACGGCUGGAUAGCUACGUAUGGAAGGGAUAAACGCUGAAAGCAUCUAAGCGUGAAGCCCCCCUCAAGAUGGGAUUUCCCAUAGUGAAUAACUAUAAGACCCCAGGAAGACUACCUGGUUGAUAGGUCAGGGGUGUAAGCGUUGAAAGACGUUGAGCUAACUGAUACUAAUUGGUCGAGGGCC
rnacentral:rRNA from 1 species